CAUCCUGGGGCAGUGGAGGGAGGGGGUGAGGCCAGGAGAAACAGGGAGAAGUGAGAACCUUUUUGGCCAAGACUUCCUGUUCAGAGGCAGCAGAAGAGGGCAAGGAGAUGGUGGCUUUAUCCUUACUACUGCUUUUCAGCUUUUCACAGACUCCUUAAGAUCUCUGACCUGGUCCCCUAAACCCAGCACCCCUUUCUUAUUCCUGGAUGAGGGGAAAUCCGAGUCACCCAGAGCUGGGAGGUAGUAAUGACAGACAGCUAUGUAUGCUGAGGUAAAAAGAAGACCUGAAGACAAAUCUGGUUUGACAAUCUCUAUCUGUCACAGCUUAGCUUGGAUCCUCAGAUGGUGUCCACCCACCAACCGUGUCAGGGGAAGGAUUCGCUGCCCUCUGCCGUCGUUCACCCUCCUACCAAAGAGGGAGGCUCAGAAAUGGGAAUCAGCUGGCCAGCAUCUGAUAAUUGCCUACUGUGUGAAGAACACUCUAUGUUCCAAACAUUAAUAAAAGUGGUGGGAUGUGGAAGAGGA